rnacentral:rRNA from 1 species
GGGCCAUGGCGGGUGCUACACAUGCAGUCGAACGAUGAAGCCCAGCUUGCUGGGUGGAUUAGUGGCGAACGGGUGAGUAACACGUGAGUAACCUGCCCUUGACUCUAGGAUAAGCCCGGGAAACUGGGUCUAAUACUGGAUAGGAACGUCUACCGCAUGGUGGAUGUUGGAAAGAAUUUCGGUCAUGGAUGGACUCGCGGCCUAUCAGCUUGUUGGUGAGGUAAUGGCUCACCAAGGCGACGACGGGUAGCCGGCCUGAGAGGGUGACCGGCCACACUGGGACUGAGACACGGCCCAGACUCCUACGGGAGGCAGCAGUGGGGAAUAUUGCACAAUGGGCGAAAGCCUGAUGCAGCGACGCCGCGUGAGGGAUGACGGCCUUCGGGUUGUAAACCUCUUUCAGUAGGGAAGAAGCGAAAGUGACGGUACCUGCAGAAGAAGCACCGGCUAACUACGUGCCAGCAGCCGCGGUAAUACGUAGGGUGCGAGCGUUAUCCGGAAUUAUUGGGCGUAAAGAGCUCGUAGGCGGUUUGUCGCGUCUGUCGUGAAAGUCCGGGGCUUAACCCCGGAUCUGCGGUGGGUACGGGCAGACUAGAGUGCAGUAGGGGAGACUGGAAUUCCUGGUGUAGCGGUGGAAUGCGCAGAUAUCAGGAGGAACACCGAUGGCGAAGGCAGGUCUCUGGGCUGUAACUGACGCUGAGGAGCGAAAGCAUGGGGAGCGAACAGGAUUAGAUACCCUGGUAGUCCAUGCCGUAAACGUUGGGCACUAGGUGUGGGGAACAUUCCACGUUUUCCGCGCCGCAGCUAACGCAUUAAGUGCCCCGCCUGGGGAGUACGGCCGCAAGGCUAAAACUCAAAGGAAUUGACGGGGGCCCGCACAAGCGGCGGAGCAUGCGGAUUAAUUCGAUGCAACGCGAAGAACCUUACCAAGGCUUGACAUGUUCUCGAUCGCCGUAGAGAUACGGUUUCCCCUUUGGGGCGGGUUCACAGUGGUGCAUGGUUGUCGUCAGCUCGUGUCGUGAGAUGUUGGGUUAGUCCCGCACGAGCGCACCCUCGUUCAUGUGCAGCACUCGGGUGGGGACUCAUGGGAGACUGCGGGUCACUCGAGAGUGGGAACGACGUCAAUCAUCAUGCCCUUAUGUUCUGGCUCACGCAUGCUACAUUGGACGGUACAUGGGGGUUGGCGAUUACCUGUGUAA